AACCACUGAGCCACAUCCCCAGCCCUUUUUAUUUUUUGGAGACCAGGUCUUGCUACAUUGCUUAGGGCCUCGCUAGGUUACUGAAGCUGCCUUUGGACUUGAAAUCCUCUGGCCUCAGCCUCCUGGGCUGCUGGGAUUACAGGUGUGUCCACCACGUCUUCCAAGUCUCAUUUCUAAUCACAGAGGAAACACUUCCACCAAUGAGUGUGCUCUUGUCUGUUUUGAUAUGUGGUUUUUAUUAUAUUGAAGUAGUUUCAUUUGUGUCUAGUUUAUUUAGUGUCUUUGUCAUUAAAGGGUUUUGGAUUUUGUAAAAGGCUUUUUCUACAUCAAUUGAAAUGAACAUAUGUUCUUUCCCCUUUAUUCUGUUAAUGAUGAGUAUUACACUGAUUGAUUUUCAUACAUUGUAUCAUCCUUACCUUCUGAGAAUAAUUUUCAUUGGCCAUAGUGUAUAAUCCUUUAAAUACACUUUGAAUUUGUUUUGCUAGUAUUUUGUUGAUCUUUGUAUCAACAUUUAUCCAGGAUAUUUGUAUAGGUAAGAAAAACAUUACAUUCUCUUGUUAUUGGGCAGAAUAUUCCAUGUAAUUGGUCUGCAGUGUUGUUCAAUUCUAUUAUUUCCUUCUUGAUCAUUUGUCUGGUUGUUUUAUCCAUUAUUGAAAGCAUGAUUGAAGCCUCCUACUAUUGCUGUAGAUCUGUUUAUACACUUCAGUUCUGUCAGUGUUUUCUUCAUAUGUUUGGAGCUCUGAUUUGGGGGUAUAUAUGUUCAUAAUUGUUACAUAUUCUGACGUAUUGACUCUUCUUAUCAAUAUGCAAUGACUCUUUGUCUCUUAAAACAGUUCCAGUGUAAAGUCUAAUUCUCCUAUUUUUAGUACCG
rnacentral:lncRNA from 1 species